CCAGGACAAGAUAUUUUCUUCCCCAUGGGUAUGAGAUUGAGAGGAGUUCUUCAGGUCCAAAGAUCAAUGACCAUUGGCUAUUAGGGUUCAUGGACUUCAUUCCCAAGGAAAGCUCAAUGAGCCUACUAUAUUAGACACUGAUGAUGUCGUGAAGGAUGAUUUCAGAACCAAGAUACUGGUGAAAGCUAUAUAUAUGAAGGAAUAUAGGGCUGUCGCUGAAGAUAAGUCUCUAAGUAUGAUAAGGAAGAAUCUAAAACUGGUUCCACGGUCAAUACUAUCCCAUGUUCAUAAAUAGUUCACUCUUCAUUGACAUCUUGCUUCUAUGCUAUGAACAGAGGAUCUCAUCUAGUGCUGACACAGUUGUGUUUGGCCACAUCCACACUGCCAAUCCUAAUCUAUUCUCAGGUAAAGCUAUUAUUGUCUUUUGCUAAUUUGCUGCCUCUGGACUACCGACUACCGGCCUCCGGCCACUUCUCUUUGCUUUUUGUUGACUGUAUUUUCUUUGCAUUGUUUUGAUUUUUAUAGAUAUAUAUCCUUAUGUGAGAAAUUACUUUCUUAUAAAGAUGAUAGUUCUGUUUGCAGUUUUUUGAACAGUUGUGUUCAUGAGAAGGAAUAAUGGUGUUUCUUUGUUUUCCUAGUCGAAUUGCACUGAUAAACUCUGAAGUAGGAAUAUUCUAGGACGAUAGUGGUUUAUGAGAGAUAAUUAUACAUCCAACAAAUACUUUUAAGUUCGUACAAAGAAUUGCACUGUUAACUACACAUCUACACACACCGCUCAGCUACCAAGAAAAGGUACAAAUCGACCAGAACAUAUAAUAAAAUCACCACUGUUUAGACUUUAGACUGCUGGCAUCUGUAUGUUCAGAAUCCCAACAGAAAUCAGUUAGUUUGCUGAGAAAACAGAAAAAGAAAACUGAACUUAGCUUUGCCAUGUCAGCCUCCAAUUGCUAGAGCAGAAUUGGGUAAUUCUGUGAAUAUAACUGAAUCGAAGGUGUCUCAGAUUAGGAACAAAACUUGUUCGCUAAUGAUCCACAGGUUGGAACAUGUUUCUUAUCUACUAGUUGAAAAAAAAACCCCCAGAAACUGGCAAAGCCGAAAACAAACUUGGAAACGCCAUGUGAAAGUCAGAGAUUGAAGGAAGCAGCGUGGCGCGUGCAACAACGUCUCACCAGACAACGAAUCAGAUGCGAUGUAUUUGCAUGCUGCAUGCAUUAUUAGCACGCGUCCGUCAGGAUUAAAAAACACAGCAAGUUGCUCGCUCCCCUGCUCUGACUCUGACCAAGAAAGGCUAGGCCCCUUUCUAUUUUUGGAUAAACAUAUAAGGCAAGGCUUUUGUGAACAGCCAGCUCUUGGCUACGCUCCAGCCCAGCACCACCAUGGCAACGCGUGCCAUGAGAUUGCUGCCCGCCACCACCUUCGUCAUGAUUGCAAUGGCCUCCUGGGGAACGCACGGCAGUGCCAGCGACGAGGCCAGUUCUCUGCUUGCUUUCAAGGCUGAGCUCGCUGGCAGCAGCUCCGGUAUGCUGGCCUCCUGGAACGGCACCGCCGGCGUCUGCAGAUGGGAAGGCGUGGCGUGCAGCGGCGGCGGCCAGGUGGUGUCGCUGAGCCUGCCCUCCUACGGGCUCGCCGGCGCGCUCUCCCCGGCCAUCGGGAACCUCACGUUCCUGCGGACGCUGAACCUGAGCUCCAACUGGUUCCAGGGGGAGAUCCCGGAGAGCAUUGGCCGCCUAGCGCGUCUGCAGGUGCUGGACCUGAGCUACAAUGCGUUCUCCGGCACGCUGCCCGCCAACCUCAGCUCCUGUGUCAGCUUACUGCUGUUGAGCCUCAGCAGCAACCAAAUUCAUGGGCGCAUCCCUGUCGUGCUCGGCAACAAGCUCACGCAUCUUCGGGGGCUCUUAUUGGCCAACAACAGCCUGACGGGCACCAUCUCAGGAUCACUAGGUAACCUUUCAUCCCUGGACUACCUUGAUCUGACUGACAACCAGCUUGAGGGUCCGGUACCACAUGAGCUUGGUAGCAUGGGAGGUCUGCAGGUCCUCCUCCUCUUUGGGAACACCCUCUCGGGUGUGCUUCCACAGUCCCUGUACAAUCUGUCAUCUCUGAAGAACUUCGGGGUAGAAUACAACAUGCUGUCUGGAACUAUCCCUGCUGAUAUCGGAGACAGAUUUCCCAGCAUAGAAACUCUAAGCUUCUCUUACAACCGGUUCAGUGGAGCUGUCCCACCUUCGGUGUCCAACCUCUCUGCUCUCAUAAAACUUGGCCUCGCAGGAAAUGGAUUUAUUGGACAUGUGCCUCCGGCUCUGGGGAAGUUGCAAGGUCUCACUGUCCUGGACUUGGGUGACAACAGGCUAGAAGCCAACGACAGUCAAGGGUGGGAGUUCAUCACUUCCCUGACGAACUGCAGCCAGCUUCAGAUACUGAUUCUUGGCAACAACUCUUUCAGUGGUAAACUUCCCGGUUCAAUCGCCAACCUAUCAACGACUCUCAAAACUCUUUAUCUGGGAGACAAUAGGAUUUCUGGAGCUAUUCCGUUGGACAUCGGCAAUUUGGUUGGUCUGAAAUUACUUGAGAUGGCAAAUAACUCCAUAUCUGGAGUGAUCCCGGAGAGCAUUGGUAGGCUAGAAAACUUGGUUGAGUUGGGCCUUUACAACACUAGCUUGUCAGGCCUCAUACCUCCAUCGCUAGGAAAUCUUACUCAGUUAAAUAGGCUUUAUGCAUACUAUGGCAAUCUAGAGGGCCCCAUUCCAAGGAGCCUGGGAAACUUGAAGAAUCUAUUUGUCUUCGAUUUGUCAACAAAUCGGCUAAAUGGUUCAAUUCCCAAAGAGGUGCUAAAACUUCCUCAGCUUUCUUGGUACUUAGACUUAUCAUACAAUGCAUUAUCUGGGCCACUCCCAGUGGAAGUUGGUAGCUUGGCAAACGUUAACCAACUGAUUCUAUCAGGAAACCAGUUGUCUAGCAGCAUACCUGAUAGUAUUGGGAAUUGCAUUUCACUAGAACGGCUGUUGUUGGAUCACAACUCAUUUGAGGGAACCAUACCUCAAUCUCUGAAGAACUUAAAAGGUCUAGCCUUACUGAACCUGACCAUGAAUAAGCUGUCUGGUAGUAUCCCUGAUGCCCUUGCUAGUAUUGGCAACCUGCAACAAUUGUAUCUAGCACAUAACAACCUUUCAGGUUUGAUCCCCACAGCUCUACAGAACCUGACACUAUUGUCGAAACUGGAUUUGUCCUUCAAUGAUCUCCAAGGUGAAGUGCCAAAAGGGGGUGUUUUUGCAAAUGCAACGUCCUUGUCAAUUCACGGAAAUGAUGAGCUUUGUGGCGGAGCGCCUCAACUACAUUUAGCUCCAUGCUCCAUGGCUGCUGUGGACAACAAAAGACAAGUGUCAAGAUCCCUUAUGGCCACCCUAAUAUCAGUCGGCGCACUUGUAUUCUUAGGUAUACUAGUUGCUCUUAUUCAUUUGAUCCACAAGAGGUUCAGACAAAGAAAGCCAAGCCAACUCAUUUCUACAGUAAUUGAUGAACAGUUCGAAAGGGUUUCUUAUCAAGCAUUGUCAAAUGGAACUGGUGGUUUCUCAGAGGCUAAUUUGCUCGGACAAGGGAGCUACGGUGCUGUUUAUAAAUGCACUUUGCAUGAUCAGGGUAUUACCACAGCUGUAAAGGUGUUUAACAUACGACAAUCCGGGUCUACUAGAAGUUUCGUAGCUGAAUGUGAGGCACUACGAAGGGUACGUCACCGUUGUCUCAUAAAGAUCAUCACUUGUUGCUCAAGCAUCAAUCAUCAAGGUGAAGAAUUCAAGGCGCUGGUUUUUGAGUUCAUGCCAAACGGUAGUCUGAAUGAUUGGCUGCAUCCAGCAUCUAAAGUACACACUCUGAGUAAUACGCUCAGCCUAGCUCAGAGACUAGACAUUGCUGUAGACAUCAUGGAUGCUCUGGAAUAUCUUCACAAUCAGUGUCAGCCACCAGUAGUCCACUGUGACCUCAAGCCAAGUAACAUCCUCCUUGCAGAGGAUAUGAGUGCCCGGGUUGGAGAUUUUGGCAUAUCGAAAAUCCUUUCUGAUGACACUAGCAAAACUCUGCUAAAUUCAGUCAGCUUCACUGGACUGAGGGGCUCCAUUGGUUAUGUCGCUCCAGAGUAUGGUGAGGGUCGAUCUGUCUCGACUCUUGGGGAUGUCUACAGCCUUGGGAUACUGUUGCUCGAGAUGUUCUCCGGAAGGAGCCCUACUGACGACAUGUUCAAUGACUCAUUGGACCUUCAUAGUUUCGCCAAAGCUGCUCUUCUCAACGGAGCCUCGGAGAUAGCCGACCCAGCAAUCUGGCUGCAUGAUGAAUCGGCUGUUGCUACCACAGUAAGAUUCCAGAGCAAGGAGUGCUUGGUUUCAGUGAUCCGGCUCGGCGUCUCCUGCUCAAAGCAGCAGCCAAGUGAGCGAAUGGCGAUGCGAGAUGCUGCUGUGGAGAUGCGUGCGAUCAGAGACGCGUACCUCAUGGUUGCCAGCUAGCUGGAUGGGGAUCUGGGAGAGAAGCAAGCAAGCCGCGAACCCUCUUAUAUUCUGAUUAAUUUCUCAAGAUCAUAGAAGCAGCGAAGCAGGAGGUCCAGUGUUGAAAUAAAUCAUUCUGAAGGUGUAGAGCGAUGAUGGAUCGGUGGAGAGCUGAAGGUGUAUCUGCUGACCCUAUACAGUUCAUCAUUGGAUUAGGAAGAACAUAGAGAUAAGGAAGCCCAGCAGGAAUAAGCAAAGGCUGAUGAUCUACUCUGGCCAAGAAACAAACACGUCAAUUCAGGCCAAGGAAAUGGCCUGUACUUUUUUUCAGAGGACAAGGAAAUUGCAUGAUUAUUGGGUUUUAUCAAGAGAAACAAAUCUGAAACAGUUGGAUGUACAUCAGUCGUCGAAAACAGUAUGAUCGAUCUGAUGUUGAUUGGACAUAGACACUUCACCCACUGCCCAAUAAUGCGGUAGCCACUCACUCAAGUCUCAAGGUGCGCGCUAGUAGAUGCCAGUAGGGUGCAUGAGCACGAAGAGGUUUAUCAUGAAAAUCAUGUAAUGUACCCGUGUGCCAGCCUGAACUUGCUGGUGCCGCCCACCACGGCGUGAUCGAUGGUGCCGGUAGAAUGACAAAGGUAGAAUGACAUGUAGAUCAGUACUACUAGCUUAUUAGUGGCGUCAGUAACAGUUCCACUGUUUAUUUGGGAGGCUUGAGGCAUCCGUGAAUGUUGGCAUAAUGAUAGAGCCGGCCAUUGACUGCUUGAGGCAGCAAUGGCUACAACAUACAUGAACAACAUUGUGGUGAAUAUAAAGAUAU